rnacentral:rRNA from 1 species
UACGUAGGGUGCGAGCGUUAAUCGGAAUUACUGGGCGUAAAACGUGCGCAGGCGGUUUUGUAAGCCAGAUGUGAAAUCCCCGGGCUUAACCUGGGAAUGGCAUUUGGGACUGCAAGGCUUGAGUGCGGCAGAGGAGACUGGAAUUCCCGGUGUAGCAGUGAAAUGCGUAGAUAUCGGGAGGAAUACCGAUGGCGAAGGCAGGUCUCUGGGCUGACACUGACGCUCAUGCACGAAAGCGUGGGGAGCAAACAGG